GUCGAGCGAGCUUGCCUAGAUGAUUUUAGUGCUUGCACUAAAUGAAACUAGAUACAAGCGAGCGGCGGACGGGUGAGUAACACGUGGGUAACCUGCCCAAGAGACUGGGAUAACACCUGGAAACAGAUGCUAAUACCGGGUAACAACACUAGACGCAUGUCUAGAGUUUGAAAGAUGGUUCUGCUAUCACUCUUGGAUGGACCUGCGGUGCAUUAGCUAGUUGGUAAGGUAACGGCUUACCAAGGCAAUGAUGCAUAGCCGAGUUGAGAGACUGAUCGGCCACAUUGGGACUGAGACACGGCCCAAACUCCUACGGGAGGCAGCAGUAGGGAAUCUUCCACAAUGGACGAAAGUCUGAUGGAGCAACGCCGCGUGAGUGAAGAAGGGUUUCGGCUCGUAAAGCUCUGUUGGUAGUGAAGAAAGAUAGAGGUAGUAACUGGCCUUUAUUUGACGGUAAAAACUUAGUUAGUCACGGCUAACUAGCGUGCCAGCAGCCGCGGUAAUACGUAGGUGGCAAGCGUUGUCCGGAUUUAUUGGGCGUAAAGCGAGUGCAGGCGGUUCAAUAAGUCUGAUGUGAAAGCCUUCGGCUCAACCGGAGAAUUGCAUCAGAAACUGUUGAACUUGAGUGCAGAAGAGGAGAGUGGAACUCCAUGUGUAGCGGUGGAAUGCGUAGAUAUAUUGAAGAACACCAGUGGCGAAGGCGGCUCUCUGGUGUGC
rnacentral:rRNA from 1 species